GAUGAAGAACGUAGUGAAAUGCGUUAAGUAAUGUGAAUUGCAGAAUUCAGUGAAUCAUCGAAUCUUUGAACGCACCUUGCGCUCUUUGGUAUUCCGAAGAGCAUGCCUGUUUGAGUGUCAUGAAAAUAUCAACCUUGACUUGGGUUUUGUGCUCUAGUCUCGGCUUGGAAUUGGGUGCUUGCCGCUUUUACGAGCGGCUCACCUUAAAUGUAUUAGCUGGAUCUGUCUUUGAGACUUGGUUUGACUUGGCGUAAUAAGUAUUUCGCUAAGGACAUUCUUCGGAGUGGCCUCGUUUCUAGGACGCUUGUCCGCUUUCCAAUACAAGUUCCACCUCGUGGACAUGACUUUUUAUUAUCUGGCCUCAAAUCAGGUAGGACUACCCGCUGAACUUAAGCAUAUCAAUAAGCGGAGGA
rnacentral:misc_RNA from 1 species